CCACGGAUCACUUGGAGAUCUUGUUAAAGGUACAGAUUCUGAUUUAGGAAUCAAAGGAUGUAGGACUUGAGAUUCUGAAUUUAAACAAGCUUUCUGAUGAUGUGAGU
rnacentral:miRNA from 1 species